rnacentral:rRNA from 1 species
GGGGAAUAUUGGGCAAUGGGCGCAAGCCUGACCCAGCAACGCCGCGUGAAGGAAGAAGGCUUUCGGGUUGUAAACUUCUUUUAUCAGGGACGAAACAAAUGACGGUACCUGAUGAAUAAGCCACGGCUAACUACGUGCCAGCAGCCGCGGUAAUACGUAGGUGGCAAGCGUUAUCCGGAUUUACUGGGUGUAAAGGGCGUGUAGGCGGGAAAGCAAGUCAGGCGUGAAAACUAUGGGCUCAACCCAUAGCCUGCGUUUGAAACUGUUUUUCUUGAGUACUGGAGAGGCAGGCGGAAUUCCGUGUGUAGCGGUGAAAUGCGUAGAUAUACGGAGGAACACCAGUGGCGAAGGCGGCCUGCUGGACAGCAACUGACGCUGAGGCGCGAAAGCGUGGGGAGCAAAC